rnacentral:lncRNA from 1 species
CUCUGAUCACCCUCUCUGGAGGGGGAUGGGAGAAGAGAACUGUCCUUUUUAACUUUGAGGAACGUUAGAGAUGCAAACCAUGUUGCGUAAAAUUAUGCAUCAGUUCAUAAAAUUGUCAUAAGUGACCAGCAUCAGGUGAAUUUUCUGAAGUGGGCGCUCCACUGGGGCACAAGGAACAGCAGGGACUGAACGCAUUGCAUUUGCCCGGUGUUCUACUCGUCGGCAUUGGCACACUAUGGCCCGAGGGCCAAAUCCAACCACUUAACCUGGUUUCCUGUGGCCGAAGACUGUAAGAAUGGUUCUCGCAUCUUCCAGCAGUUGAAAACACACGAACAAAUAAAAGCAUGAAAAUUCUGUGAAAAUGCUAUGAAAUUCAAACUUGAUGUCAGUAAAUAAUGUUUCAUUGGAAU